rnacentral:piRNA from 1 species
UGGGAUAAAAGGUGCAGCACAC